rnacentral:sRNA from 1 species
CGUACUUGAGUAGACUUAAACGUCACAAUGAUUUCUAAGAUUAUUUGCUUCUUAGUUCUAUCGCUGGUCUCAGCAGACCAAGAUCCUACAAAAGUCUGCUCACCUGACCAGGUGUCUUUCUACAGUUACAAUAUUGAAAAAGAUGUCAUUUCCCUUGUGAACAUCGACUACAAAAGUAAGAUCAUGGCUGUUGCUCUUGGCAACACAACUGUAGUCAAUGACCUUCAGAGUG